rnacentral:rRNA from 1 species
AAAUUGAAGAGUUUGAUCAUGGCUCAGAUUGAACGCUGGCGGCAGGCCUAACACAUGCAAGUCGAGCGGUAGCACAGAGAGCUUGCUCUCGGGUGACGAGCGGCGGACGGGUGAGUAAUGUCUGGGAAACUGCCUGAUGGAGGGGGAUAACUACUGGAAACGGUAGCUAAUACCGCAUAACGUCGCAAGACCAAAGUGGGGGACCUUCGGGCCUCAUGCCAUCAGAUGUGCCCAGAUGGGAUUAGCUAGUAGGUGGGGUAACGGCUCACCUAGGCGACGAUCCCUAGCUGGUCUGAGAGGAUGACCAGCCACACUGGAACUGAGACACGGUCCAGACUCCUACGGGGGAGGCAGCAGUGGGGAAUAUUGCACAAUGGGCGCAAGCCUGAUGCAGCCAUGCCGCGUGUGUGAAGAAGGCCUUCGGGUUGUAAAGCACUUUCAGCGGGGAGGAAGGCGGUGAGGUUAAUAACCUCAUCGAUUGACGUUACCCGCAGAAGAAGCACCGGCUAACUCCGUGCCAGCAGCCGCGGUAAUACGGAGGGUGCAAGCGUUAAUCGGAAUUACUGGGCGUAAAGCGCACGCAGGCGGUCUGUCAAGUCGGAUGUGAAAUCCCCGGGCUUAACCUGGGAACUGCAUUCGAAACUGGCAGGCUAGAGUCUUGUAGAGGGGGGUAGAAUUCCAGGUGUAGCGGUGAAAUGCGUAGAGAUCUGGAGGAAUACCGGUGGCGAAGGCGGCCCCCUGGACAAAGACUGACGCUCAGGUGCGAAAGCGUGGGGAGCAAACAGGAUUAGAUACCCUGGUAGUCCACGCCGUAAACGAUGUCGAUUUGGAGGUUGUGCCCUUGAGGCGUGGCUUCCGGAGCUAACGCGUUAAAUCGACCGCCGGGGAGUACGGCCGCAAGGUUAAAACUCAAAUGAAUUGACGGGGCCCGCACAAGCGGUGGAGCAUGUGGUUUAAUUCGAUGCAACGCGAAGAACCUUACCUGGUCUUGACAUCCACAGAACUUUCCAGAGAUGGAUUGGUGCCUUCGGGAACUGUGAGACAGGUGCUGCAUGGCUGUCGUCAGCUCGUGUUGUGAAAUGUUGGGUUAAGUCCCGCAACGAGCGCAACCCUUAUCCUUUGUUGCCAGCGGUCCGGCCGGGAACUCAAAGGAGACUGCCAGUGAUAAACUGGAGGAAGGUGGGGAUGACGUCAAGUCAUCAUGGCCCUUACGACCAGGGCUACACACGUGCUACAAUGGCAUAUACAAAGAGAAGCGACCUCGCGAGAGCAAGCGGACCUCAUAAAGUAUGUCGUAGUCCGGAUUGGAGUCUGCAACUCGACUCCAUGAAGUCGGAAUCGCUAGUAAUCGUAGAUCAGAAUGCUACGGUGAAUACGUUCCCGGGCCUUGUACACACCGCCCGUCACACCAUGGGAGUGGGUUGCAAAAGAAGUAGGUAGCUUAACCUUCGGGAGGGCGCUUACCACUUUGUGAUUCAUGACUGGGGUGAAGUCGUAACAAGGUAACCGUAGGGGAACCUGCGGUUGGAUCACCUCCUUACCUUAAAGAA